AUAACCAUCCGCACAGGCUACAUAAUGGGAUAAUUAAGAGGUCAAUAUACACAGUAUAUGCAUAACUCACGUGCCUGUUUAUAGAGUGCAUUGAAAAUGUUCUUGUUUUUAAAGUUUCUGCCAUGAGAGUGACCGAAGAUAGAGAAGAUAAAAUUAUUAGCACUAGAAUGUUCAUUACACAAAGAUCCUGGCGAUAUGGCGAGUUAUUGGCUAAUGCUACCUGUCCGUAAGCUAAUAUGCAACAUUUAGGCACAUCAACGUCAUGUCACUGUCGGAUUGUGAUCCAUCACAGUAACAAAAAGUCAGUUUAAUGCAAAGGAAAGGUGUUUCACCAAAGGCUUUCAAGCGAUUGCCGCUCCCACGUCUCUUCAAAAACCUCCCCCAGAAGACCAUCCAAACAAGGGAACAUUGCCCACUUACAGCGAUAUAGGACAGAGAAAUCAAGAUAAAGAUCUGAAUCAUGUCUUCAAACCUAACCUCUCUUGAGUCCAACCUGCUUUGCCAGCCCGGCUUCAGAACAAUCUCUCCCUAGGAGAAAAAUGCUUGGCAUUUUUAUUUGCCUCUGAAAUGCCUUGAACGUACUUCAGGUGAUGUAUUACAGCGCCGGGCGAUCUCAAAUUUGGUAACAGAAAACAGCCUACAAGGCAGAAGACAAGAUUCCAAAAACACAGAUUGCCCUGAGCGACCUCGCCCCAAAAAGAUAACACACAAACCUGUCGGACCCUCCAAGCAAAUGUGUCACCUUCCUUUCUACCGCGUAUUUGGAUAAAGGGACACAGUAUAGAUACAGCCACCCACCCAGGAACCGCUUUACAGAACAGAUAGAAAAAUGGAACCUACUUUGCAGCCAGAAUCAGGGUGGCCACCCAGAAAUAAUUUCACCAACUGGAUUGCGUUCAAGAAACAUCAGUUCGCUCUGUCAGAAGGAAACACCGAGGACAACAGGAGCCUGAACAGCUUUCAAGGUCUUUUCCUGGCGGGCAAAAGUUAAUUUAUGAAAAGAUCAGCCCAAGGUUAAGGAGGCCAAAUCCAAGUUGAAGGGGGGGGGGGGUGUUCCUGGAUCCAUUUAGACCAGAGGUCUGCCAAAUUCAGCAGUCAUUUUUCUGGAGGUGACGGUGCUUCCCUGUGGUCUUCAACGGCUGGGGAUUCUUGCAUCCAAUGGGGAAUAU
rnacentral:lncRNA from 1 species